rnacentral:rRNA from 1 species
UACGGAGGAUCCGAGCGUUAUCCGGAUUUAUUGGGUUUAAAGGGUGCGCAGGCGGAAGAUUAAGUCGGUGGUGAAAUUUUGCAGCUCAACUGUAAAAGUGCCAUUGAUACUGGUUUUCUUGAGUGUGGAUGAAGUAGGCGGAAUUUGUGGUGUAGCGGUGAAAUGCAUAGAUAUCACGAGGAACUCCGAUUGCGCAGGCAGCUUACUAAACCAUAACUGACGCUCAGGCACGAAGGCGUGGGGAUCAAACAGGAUUAGAUACCCG